GGAGGGUGCAAGCGUUAUCCGGAUUCACUGGGUUUAAAGGGUGCGUAGGCGGGCAGGUAAGUCCGUGGUGAAAUCUCUGAGCUUAACUCAGAAACUGCCAUGGAUACUAUUUGUCUUGAAUAUUGUGGAGGUAAGCGGAAUAUGUCAUGUAGCGGUGAAAUGCUUAGAUAUGACAUAGAACACCAAUUGCGAAGGCAGCUUACUACACAGUUAUUGACGCUGAGGCACGAAAGCGUGGGGAUCAAACAGGAUUAGAUACCCUGGUAGUCCACGCCCUAAACGAUGAUUACUCGACAUCAGCGAUACACUGUUGGUGUCUGAGCGAAAGCAUUAGGUAAUCCACCUGGGAAGUACGAUCGCAAGAUUG
rnacentral:rRNA from 1 species